rnacentral:rRNA from 1 species
GAUGAACGCUGGCGGCGUGCCUAAUACAUGCAAGUCGAGCGAACAGACGAGGAGCUUGCUCCUCUGACGUCAGCGGCGGACGGGUGAGUAACACGUGGAUAACCUACCUAUAAGACUGGGAUAACUUCGGGAAACCGGAGCUAAUACCGGAUAAUAUAUUGAACCGCAUGGUUCAAUAGUGAAGGACGGUUUUGCUGUCACUUAUAGAUGGAUCCGCGCCGCAUUAGCUAGUUGGUAAGGUAACGGCUUACCAAGGCAACGAUGCGUAGCCGACCUGAGAGGGUGAUCGGCCACACUGGAACUGAGACACGGUCCAGACUCCUACGGGAGGCAGCAGUAGGGAAUCUUCCGCAAUGGGCGAAAGCUUGACGGAGCAACGCCGCGUGAGUGAUGAAGGUCUUCGGAUCGUAAAACUCUGUUAUUAGGGAAGAACAAAUGUGUAAGUAACUAUGCACGUCUUGACGGUACCUAAUCAGAAAGCCACGGCUAACUACGUG